CCCAUUUUCCACUCCCAGGUGAUCGAUGAUCUGGUUUCCAUCACUGAUUAGCUGGAGUCUUCUAGACUUGUUUUAUCAUUGGAAUCAACCGGCAGAAGACACCCAGUGGAAGGAAGUACCUCAACUCCCAGAACCGAAUUUCCACUACCAAUGGUUGUUGUGGCCACUUGGUGAAUUAAAAAGAAUCACCCUUUCCUCGGAGCUCUUCACUAUCAACUGCCCCAAAACAGUCCUGGUUAGGAUGACACUACAGUCAAUACUGCCUCGUGGAUUUGUGAAAUGAACAACCUGCUCAACAGCACAGAUCCAGUGACUCUACCUGUGCCCACCCCCUCCCCACCCCCACCCCCCACCUUCUUUCCCAGGGUUACUACCCGAGAUCGGUCCCUCCACCUGCGUUCUGCACACCCCUCUCCUCCCAUCCUGUCGUCUUUGCCCUCAUAAACUAUUCUUGGGUGUGUGUCCAUUUGGUCACGGGCUGACCAACGUUAAAAAUCCCUGGCCCCUCUUCAUCAAUGUUUGAACAAACAGGUUUCUCCAAUCUUUUAAAAUAAAAUUAGCAUCCUCUUUCCAGCA